ACUAAAGUAGUUUAAUAAAAACGCUAAUUUGUGGUAUUAGAAUCACCAGUUAAAACCUGGUCUAUAGUC